rnacentral:rRNA from 2 species
UACAGGGGGUGCAAGCGUUGCUCGGAAUUACUGGGCGUAAAGCGUGCGCAGGCGGUUUGUCAAGUCGGGGGUGAAAACCCGGGGCUCAACCCCGGAAUUGCCUCCGAAACUGGCAGACUUGAGUACGAGAGAGGGUCGCGGAAUUCUUGGUGUAGAGGUGAAAUUCGUAGAUAUCAGGAAGAACACCAGUGGCGAAAGCGGCGACCUGGCUCGAUACUGACGCUCAUGCACGAAAGCGUGGGGAGCAAACAGG